AUACAGAGGGUGCAAGCGUUAAUCGGAAUUACUGGGCGUAAAGCGCGCGUAGGUGGUUUGUUAAGUUGGAUGUGAAAGCCCCGGGCUCAACCUGGGAACUGCAUCCAAAACUGGCAAGCUAGAGUACGGUAGAGGGUGGUGGAAUUUCCUGUGUAGCGGUGAAAUGCGUAGAUAUAGGAAGGAACACCAGUGGCGAAGGCGACCACCUGGACUGAUACUGACACUGAGGUGCGAAAGCGUGGGGAGCAAACAGGAUUAGAAACCCUAGUAGUCC
rnacentral:rRNA from 1 species